rnacentral:lncRNA from 1 species
GGAGAGGAUCCCCCUGUACGCUUAUGUCUAUAGUUGAACUUGAAACUUAUUUGCUGUUGAUCUGGCUAUGAAACUUAAUCUAGCUAAUUGAUACUAUAGUAAGUACAAUACAGGGAAAACAAUUUCUAGUACCAGAGUGACUGAAUUGUUUGUUAAAGUAUGUAUCGAUCUUGUGUUUGCUGCAUGGCCAGUACCACUGGUGGAAAAUAUUUUUUCUCAGUGCUCAAAAUUUUCUGCAAAAGAUUAUAUAUAAUAUCAUGGGGAACUGUCUUUUUUACCUCACAUGAAGCAAUAUAUCUUUAAGAUUGAUAAGGCAUGGCAUACAAGAUAACUCCUGAAAUAGUAGUUGCAGUCUCACAGGAUUACACAAUAUGAAUAUUUUCAUUCCCAACUGUUCCGAUGUAAUUUAGGUAUCGAUUUAGCAGAUUAAUCUGGUAUUCAAUCAUUUCAAUAAUAUGAUAUUUAGUGAUUUAGGUAUUCAAUUGGUGUAAUUUUCUACCCUGCUGGCAGUGGUUUCUGAGCUGAGGAGAAACCACUUUCUCCCUCGCUGCCGAUGCUCAGCUCAGAAAUCACUGCCAGCAGGGUAGUAAUUUUCAGAAGUGGUUAUCAAACAUCAAAAAAUGUCUGAAAAAUUAGGCAAAAAUGUAGAUGAGGGAACCAUUUUUUCCACCUCUUGACAAGCACUGAAGCACAUGUAUUAUGCACUCAUAAAGAGUCAGUACAAUGAGGGCUGUCCUUGAUCAGUUUUACUGUAAAAUCACAUGGGCAGUUUUGUAGAAAGUAUUGAAUUUUCUCAAUGACAAAAUUAAUAUAAUAUAUGUAGCAUCAUUUUCAUCCAAACUCUUUUUUUCAUGUGUAUAUCAUGUCAUGUAGAUUUUACUGUAAAUGAACAAAAUAAAAUGUGAUUCGUUAUAAUUUUGUAUUUCCUUGGCGAUAUCUACUUUUGUAUUUGCGUGGCGAUAUCUACUAUUUAAAACACGAGUAGGAGUGUUUUAUCAAAUAUUUAACGCAAGGCAAUGUCUGAUAAAACACGACAACGAGUGUUUUGAAUAGCUUAAAAUACGACUACAAAAGAAUACUAAUUAGGAUGAACAAUUAUAUAAUUAUACUAAUUAGGAUGAACAAUUAUAUAAAGAAUACUAACGAAGAAGAAUUUUAUCAGAUAUAAAGUCACUCUACGUGACAUAUGGCUGACAUGAUUUGCCACAGGUUUAUGACUUAUUAAUGAGUAUUUUAAUAUAAUAAAGACCCCCUGUACACCCUUUUCAUAAAUGGCUGCCGAUUAAAAAUUCUUUUAUGUGCAUAUAAAUUGCCCAACUAGCCUCGUACUCAUGUUAGGAUUUCAAAGGAAUUUCUACCCAGAAACGAGGCUAGUUAGGCCACGAUUGGGCCAAUUUAUAUGCACAUAAAAUAAUUUUUAAUCAGCAGCCAUUUAUGAAAAGGGUGUAUAGACCGUUUCCAAAAAUGAUUGUCGUUCUUUUGUCUUUCGAAAAUUAGUUUCAAUCAAGGUAAUCGCUACCGCCUUAUAUAAUACUUCAAGACUGAAAACAGUUUUAC